CCUACGGGAGGCAGCAGUGGGGGAUAUUGCACAAUGGGGGGAACCCUGAUGCAGCGACGCCGCGUGGGUGAAGGAGUGCUUCGGCAUGUAAAGCCCUAUCGGCAGGGAAGAAGCAAGACGGUACCUGACUAAGAAGCCCCGGCUAACUACGUGCCAGCAGCCGCGGUAAUACGUAGGGGGCGAGCGUUAUCCGGAUUCACUGGGUGUAAAGGGAGCGUAGACGGCCAUGCAAGCCAGGGGUGAAAGCCCGGGGCCCAACCCCGGGACUGCCCUUGGAACUGCAUGGCUGGAGGGCGGGAGGGGGAGGGGGAAAUCCCGGGGGAGGGGUGAAAUGCGUAGAAAUCAGGAGGAACACCGGGGGUGGAGGCGGCCUGCUGGACCGCGACUGACGUUGAGGCUGGAAAGCGUGGGGAGCGAACCGGAAUAGAAACCCGGGUAGUC
rnacentral:rRNA from 1 species